CUUUAGAAGAGGUGUACAAACAAGCUAAGUUAUAUGAACAGACUUUGUUAAUGAUGUGGAAAAGGAACAAAAUGAUUUACAAAACACCCAUAACUAAGACAGCAGAAUAUUUUCACACUAAACCAGCAGUACAGAAGAAAAACACAAAAUCUCAAACCUUCAGAAAUCAGAAGUUAUUUCAGAAGGAUAAUAAACAAUA
rnacentral:lncRNA from 1 species